rnacentral:rRNA from 1 species
GACGAACCGUGCAAACGUUAUUCGGAAUCACUGGGCAUAAAGGGCGCGUAGGCGGCUUUCUAAGUCAGGGGUGAAAUCCGGCAGCUCAACUGUCGCAGUGCCUUUGAUACUGGAGAGCUCGAGGGAGGUAGGGGUCUGUGGAACUUCCGGUGGAGCGGUGAAAUGCGUUGAUAUCGGAAGGAACGCCGGUGGCGAAAGCGACGGACUGGAUCUCCUCUGACGCUGAGGCGCGAAAGCCAGGGGAGCAAACGGG